CCAACCUCCAUUCAUUUGUAUUGUUACUAAGCAUACAGAGGAGCAAUAUCUGGCGAAGGACUGUUCUCAUUUAAGUGAAACUGAUGCAUCAAGAAGCCUAAUGUUUCCUCUCAACACUACUGUUAUGAUGAGUGUUAUCUAUUGUACAGAAAAUGCUAUAGUUUUAAUGAUACAGCCCAUUUUUACUCUUAAAAUGCCAUUUAUUUCAUUAUUCUCCCUUUUCUCAAAACAUGCUAAAGUAAAACUG
rnacentral:lncRNA from 1 species